rnacentral:rRNA from 1 species
CCUACGGGUGGCUGCAGUGGGGAAUAUUGGACAAUGGGGGCAACCCUGAUCCAGCCAUGCCGCGUGUGUGAAGAAGGCCCUCGGGUUGUAAAGCACUUUCAGUGAGGAAGAACGCCUGGUGGUUAAUACCCAUCAGGAAAGACAUCACUCACAGAAGAAGCACCGGCUAACUCCGUGCCAGCAGCCGCGGUAAUACGGAGGGUGCGAGCGUUAAUCGGAAUUACUGGGCGUAAAGCGCGCGUAGGUGGCUUGAUAAGCCGGUUGUGAAAGCCCCGGGCUCAACCUGGGAACGGCAUCCGGAACUGUCAAGCUAGAGUGCAGGAGAGGAAGGUAGAAUUCCCGGUGUAGCGGUGAAAUGCGUAGAGAUCGGGAGGAAUACCAGUGGCGAAGGCGGCCUUCUGGACUGACACUGACACUGUGGUGCGGAAGCGUGGGUAGCAAACAGGAUUAGCUACCCUGGUAGUA